UCCGGUUUAACACCGGCAGUCCCUCUAGAGUGCCCAACUAAAUGCUGGCAACUAAAGGUAAGGGUUGCGCUCGUUGCGGGACUUAACCCAACAUCUCACGACACGAGCUGACGACAGCCAUGCAGCACCUGUGAACCGGCCCUUGCGGGCGGGGGCAUCUCUGCCACCCUUCCAGUUCAUGUCAAGCCCAGGUAAGGUUUUGCGCGUUGCAUCGAAUUAAACCACAUACUCCACCGCUUGUGCGGGCCCCCGUCAAUUUCUUUGAGUUUUAAUCUUGCGACCGUACUCCCCAGGCGGGAUACUUAACGCGUUAGCUUCGUCACUAAAGGGGUCAAUACCUCUAACAACAAGUAUCCAUCGUUUAUGGCGUGGACUAC
rnacentral:misc_RNA from 1 species